UACGUAGGGUGCAAGCGUUGUUCGGAAUUACUGGGCGUAAAGGGCGCGUAGGCGGGUUGGCAAGUCGGUCGUGAAAGCCUUCGGCUCAACCGAAGAACGUCGGCCGAUACUGCCGUUCUUGAGGGAUGCAGAGGAGACUGGAAUUCCCGGUGUAGCGGUGAAAUGUGUAGAGAUGUGGAGGAACACCGAUGGCGAAGGCAGCCCCCUGGGUCAAGAUUGACGCUCAUGCACGAAAGCGUGGGGAGCAAACAGG
rnacentral:rRNA from 1 species